rnacentral:rRNA from 1 species
AACGAACGCUGGCGGCAGGCUUAACACGUGCAAGUCGAGCGCCCCGCAAGGGGAGCGGCAGACGGGUGAGUAACGCGUGGGAAUCUACCCAUCUCUACGGAAUAACGCAUGGAAACGUGUGCUAAUACCGUAUACGUCCUUCGGGAGAAAGAUUUAUCGGAGAUGGAUGAGCCCGCGUUGGAUUAGCUAGUUGGUGGGGUAAAGGCCUACCAAGGCGACGAUCCAUAGCUGGUCUGAGAGGAUGAUCAGCCACACUGGGACUGAGACACGGCCCAGACUCCUACGGGAGGCAGCCGUGGGGAAUAUUGGACAAUGGGCGCAAGCCUGAUCCAGCCAUGCCGCGUGAGUGAUGAAGGCCCUAGGGUUGUAAAGCUCUUUCACCGGUGAAGAUAAUGACGGUAACCGGAGAAGAAGCCCCGGCUAACUUCGUGCCAGCCGCCGCCGCAGUAA